AUUGAACGCUGGCGGCAGGCCUAACACAUGCAAGUCGAGCGGAGCGGCGGACGGGUGAGUAAUGCCUAGGAAUCUGCCUGGUAGUGGGGGAUAACGUCCGGAAACGGGCGCUAAUAGCGAAUACUAUCAGAUGAGCCUAGGUCGGAUUAGCUCGUGGGUGGGGUAAAGGCCUCCCAAGGCGACGAUCCGUAACGGUUCUGAGAGGAUGAUCAUGCACACUGGAACUGAGAACCGGUCCAGACUCCUACGGGAGGCAGCAGUGGGGAAUUUUGGACAAGGGGCGAAAGCCUGAUCCAGCCAUGCCGCGUGUGUGAAGAAGGUCUUCGGAUUUUAAAGCACUUUAAGUUGGGAGGCGUUACCAACAGAAUAAGCACCGGCUAACUUCGUGCCAGCAGCCGCGGUAAUAC
rnacentral:rRNA from 1 species